rnacentral:rRNA from 1 species
GACGAACCGUGCGAACGUUGUUCGGAAUCACUGGGCUUAAAGGGCGCGUAGGCGGGCUCUCAAGUCAGGGGUGAAAGCCCGCGGCUCAACCGCGGAAGUGCCUCUGAUACUGGGGGCCUGGAGGGAGGUAGGGGCGUGCGGAACUUCCGGUGGAGCGGUGAAAUGCGUAGAUAUCGGAAGGAACACCGGUGGCGAAGGCGACUUCCUGGCCUGUUCUUGACGCUGAGGCGCGAAAGCUAGGGGAGCAAACGGG